UCACAUCUUACGAUGGCAGUCUGGCCAGAGUCCUCAGCUUAACCUGUUAGUAACUGACCACGAGGGUUGCGCUCGUUAUGGCACUUAAGCCGACACCUCACGGCACGAGCUGACGACAACCAUGCAGCACCUUCACAGACGCCUUGCGGCUUACAAGUUUCCUCGUAAUUCGUCUGCAAUUUAAGCCCGGGUAAGGUUCCUCGCGUAUCAUCGAAUUAAACCACAUGUUCCUCCGCUUGUGCGGGCCCCCGUCAAUUCCUUUGAGUUUCACCGUUGCCGGCGUACUCCCCAGGUGGGAUACUUAAUGCUUUCGCUUGGCCGCUGACAGUAUAUCGCCAACAGCGAGUAUCCAUCGUUUACCGUGUGGACUAC
rnacentral:misc_RNA from 1 species